rnacentral:sRNA from 1 species
UCCUAGCAGCGAUGGUGGAUUAUCUUUUUGUAUUUAAUCAAAAGGAUGGAAUUUCAGCGCAAAGAAUU